rnacentral:lncRNA from 1 species
CGCAACAGCAAAUUUUCAAUAAGGAUAACGAUUCAAUAUCAAGGCGGAAAGACGCUGGUACCACCGAAGUCGUCAGAGGACGUUGCCACAGAAUUGUUGACAUCAGGGCAGCGAGUGGAUUUUGAUUUGAUGAAGGACAAAAAGGCAGCAGCGCCGUCGGACCGAGUAGCUCAAGGCUGUCCGAACCUGCGCAAAUACGUGCCACUAGAUCUGCACUUCCAAAAAACCCGCGCCAUGAAAAAGUCACAGCGAGAAGCCACCCGAUUUACUCAAAAAAGAAUCAGAAACUCGCCUAUCGGAAGUAUUCUAAAUCCAGGCAAUCUUUUGUCAAGUUAAACUACUUUUUUGCCCAGCGAUUUUGUUUUGACGACAACUACAGUAUGUUUUUUCGUCGAGCACCUUAUGUUGACGCAUCAGUACUUUGGUGUUUAAUCACAGCUUUAACAACUCUUUUUCAACUCAAAUCGAGUAAUAGGUAGCUCAGUAGGAAGUGCACAAGCAAGUUUGAGGUUUUAAGCAGUAAAAAUAGAAAAUAACAUGAAAAUAGGAACAAAAUCUCAACCUCGCCGAUUUUUGUUGAAGAAAGAAACUUGUAGAAUUUAUUGUACUUUCAUAAUGUGUUAAAUGAAAUAAAGAAAUGGAAUCGGUUUUUUAGGCAA